AGUGAACGCUGGCGGUAGGCCUAACACAUGCAAGUCGAACGGCAGCACAGUAAGAGCUUGCUCUUACGGGUGGCGAGUGGCGGACGGGUGAGGAAUACAUCGGAAUCUACUUUUUCGUGGGGGAUAACGUAGGGAAACUUACGCUAAUACCGCGUACGACCUACGGGUGAAAGCAGGGGAUCUUCGGACCUUGCGCGAUCGAAUGAGCCGAUGUCGGAUUAGCUAGUUGGCGGGGUAAAGGCCCACCAAGGCGACGAUCCGUAGCUGGUCUGAGAGGAUGAUCAGCCACACUGGAACUGAGACACGGUCCAGACUCCUACGGGAGGCAGCAGUGGGGAAUAUUGGACAAUGGGCGCAAGCCUGAUCCAGCCAUACCGCGUGGGUGAAGAAGGCCUUCGGGUUGUAAAGCCCUUUUGUUGGGAAAGAAAAGCAGCAGGUUAAUACCCCGCUGUUCUGACGGUACCCAAAGAAUAAGCACCGGCUAACUUCGUG
rnacentral:rRNA from 1 species